UUCGGGAAAAGAAUCUUUGUCGUAUCAACAGGUCUUAGUGAACGACAAGAACUCGUAACGUUAUCGUCGGUCACACACAUUGAACUAGAGAACAUUGGAGGUUGAGUCGAGGUUUGAAACGUAGGAUAUUAGAUGAAUUUGUAGCAAACAAUAUACGAAGUGCAAUCAUACGUCGUAUUGGUUUCA